GUGAGGGAAAAUGAGCAAGAAAAUAGACAGAUGAUUGAUUUCAUCUCUUUUUUUGCUUAACUGUGCACAGUCUCUCCUUUAGACAAAGUAGUUGCUGCAGGUGCCUCACUUAAUCGUUCUUCAACCGAAGCCUUUUUUGCUUCGACAUAUAGAAUCUGUCUGUCACUUCAGGAUCGCUGAAGCUCUUGGAGAUCUCUUUAAGGGCAACUUGACCUCAGAACCAACUGAAGCUUGUUUCCUGUUUCGACAUUUUUGUGGG
rnacentral:misc_RNA from 1 species